UAUGGAAUAGCCAUUAGAAAUGAUGGGUAAUACUGUAUAAUCCCUGCCGGGGAAAGAUUUAUCGCUAUUAGAUGAGCCUACGUUAGAUUAGCUAGUUGGUAAGGUAAUGGCUUACCAAGGCUAUGAUCUAUAGCUGGUCUGAGAGGACGAUCAGCCACACUGGAACUGAGAUACGGUCCAGACUCCUACGGGAGGCAGCAGUGGGGAAUAUUGGACAAUGGGCGAAAGCCUGAUCCAGCUAUGCCGCGUGAGUGAAGAAGGCCUUCGGGUUGUAAAACUCUUUUAAUAGGGAAGAUAAUGACGGUACCUAUA
rnacentral:rRNA from 1 species